CCAGUUACGGCGAGUGAGCGGCAAAAGCUCAAAUUUGAAAUCCUGCGGGAAUUGUAAUCUUCGAAGGUUUCGUGGUCUGAGUCGGCCGCGCCCAAGUCCAUUGGAACAUGGCGCCUGGGAGGGUGAGAGCCCCGUAUGGCGCACGCCGACUCUUUGCACCGCGGCUCCGACGAGUCGAGUUGUUUGGGAAUGCAGCUCUAAGUGGGUGGUAAAUUCCAUCUAAAGCUAAAUAUUGGCGAGAGACCGAUAGCGAACAAGUACAGUGAUGGAAAGAUGAAAAGCACUUUGAAAAGAGAGUGAAACAGCACGUGAAAUUGUUGAAAGGGAAGGGCUUGCAAGCAGACACGGUUUUACCGGGCCAGCGUCAAAUAAACGGGGGGGAAAAGGGGGAAAGAAUGUGGCGCGUGCCUUCGGGUUCGCGUGUUAUAGCUUUCUCUAAUACCCCCAUGUUUGUUUGAGGCCUG
rnacentral:rRNA from 1 species